rnacentral:rRNA from 1 species
UGAGCAACCUGCCCUCGGCUUUGGGAUAACCCUCGGAAACGGGGGCUAAUACCGAAUGUUCACUGCUGGACGCAUGUUUGGUGGUGGAAAGUUUUUCGGCUGGGGAUGGGCUCGCGGCCUAUCAGCUUGUUGGUGGGGUGAUGGCCUACCAAGGCGACGACGGGUAGCCGGCCUGAGAGGGCGACCGGCCACACUGGGACUGAGACACGGCCCAGACUCCUACGGGAGGCA